GCUAGAUUGGCAGAUUAGUGCAAUUGACUUAGAAUCAUUAUAAGAAAUUUAUUAUUUUAUUUAGUA
rnacentral:tRNA from 1 species